GCCCCAAUGGUGUAGUCCGGCCCAGUGGAAAUCCAGGGAUUUCCUGGGUUCCCUGCGGGAACAAUCAUGUCGCCCUCUCGAGAAAAAUCAGGGACAGGCGAUGACGUGGGUUCGAAUCCCGCUUGGGGCA
rnacentral:tRNA from 1 species